AAAGAGACUCCUUCCAGAAAUGCUACAAGAUUUCAAAAUUGAUGAUGUGGCAGAGUUAAAAAAAUAAAAUAUUGAAUAGUAUUUACUUUCCCAUUUCUCCUAUUCCCGUCCGCCUCUCCCAUUUUCUCCCAUUUCCGUCCGUCUCUCCCCUUUCCCCCAAAUCCACUCACAAAAUUGACUUUCCCGUUUCCCCCCAAAUCACUCUUCUGCUCGCUGCACUCAUCGUCACCGUUGAUCGGCACUGACGAAGAGCAUAUGACUCGAGCAUCCUCCAUUCACAACCGCAUUCACCUCCAUCCAAGCGAACAAUCUGUGUGUGAACAGUCCUCGACGCUGCACUCACCUCCCUUCACGGUCACACUCUGGCAAUAAUGUAAGUGUAUUUUUUCCGGUUUUGUACAAAAUUUUGAAAUGUGUCUACCUCUCUUUUUACAUUCCUAUCUCCUCGAAAAUGCCAAAGUAAAAAAAGAAGAAAUUUAUCAUUUUUCUGACCAAAUCUUGCUGCAUUUAUGUGUUUUUAGUGGGUUCGAAGUUUUACUGUGUUUUAUAGUUUUCUUGUGGGGCUUGAACUUUGAAGUUUUGGAAACAAUAUGCAAUGAUAGUACCUUUGUGAACUUCUCUAUGGAAUGCCUUAUUUUAUAAGCAGAAUUCUUGGUUAUGAUUGGUGGUUAAUGUCGGUCAUCGAUAUCUUCCUUUAUUGCCUUGGUUUUGAUUGGUUAAUGUCGGCAAUCAAAUUGGGUAAUGUUUUUUGACUUGGAUGAUGAGGUUUAGGUGGUUGAUGUGAGAUUUUGUAAUUGAAUUGCAUUAAUUAUUGUUUAUUUGUUUGUUCAGCAGUUAUCGACUAGAAUGAGAGGAAGGAAUUCGGGGUUUUUGUCACGGUUGCAGAAGCAACACUCACUACUUUAGACAAUACCAAAAAAACGACAAUGCCCUUCGUGUAAACAAGGAUAUCGAAAAUGUUUUGAGAUCGAAUAGAAAACUAGUAACAAAGGGCGAUUCUUCUUCACUUGUAGUAAUUAUUGUGGAUAUUUUGAUUGGGUGAAAGAAGAAGUUUUAAGUAGGGAGUCGAGUUCUAUUCAUGAAGCGGUGAAUCAUGAGCCCAACGAGGAAGAUGAAGAGUUGCCAAGCAUCUUUGACAAGCCAGCUCGAAUAAGCGAGAAACGAGACGUGGACAUAUCAAUGCACUUGGCUUUCGGCAAGGGAAAAUGAAUUGUGAAGUGUGAUGGGAAAGGAAAGGGUUCGACUUAAACGGAUGAUUUGAAUUUGCUAUGUGGAUUAUUGUCCUUGUACUAUAAGAUGUAUGGUUAAUCUUGUCAAAAUAGUUCCAUCGUUUCACAUAUGAUUGUUAUUAGGUUCGCUAUAGUAUAUGUUAUGGUUUCUAGAACUUUAUGAUAUACUUGUUAUCGUUUUUGGAUUUUCCUUCUUUUCAGCAACGUAGUGGAUUUGCUUGUCUUAAAUCUUAUGUCACUCUGCUGGUGUUUGAUAUCGUUUCUUGUAGAGG
rnacentral:lncRNA from 1 species